rnacentral:rRNA from 1 species
AAUGAACGUUGGCGGCGUGGAUUAGGCAUGCAAGUCGUGCGGAAAGGCUCCUUCGGGGGUACUCGAGCGGCGUAAGGGAGAGUAACGCGUGGAUAUCUACCCCCUGGACUGGGAUAGCGGCGGGAAACUGCCGGUAAUACCAGAUAAUGUCUGCGGACCAAAGGUGUGAUUCCGCCGGGGGAUGAGUUCGCGUCCUAUUAGCUAGUUGGUAGGGUAAUGGCCUACCAAGGCAAAGAUGGGUACCGGGUGUGAGAGCAUGGCCCGGCUCACUGGGACUGAGACACUGCCCAGACACCGACGGGUGGCUGCAGUCGAGAAUCUUCGGCAAUGGGCGCAAGCCUGACCGAGCGACGCCGCGUGCGGGAUGAAGGCCUUCGGGUUGUAAACCGCUGUCAGAGGGGAGGAAAUGCGUGAGAGUUCUCUCUCACGUUUGACCUAUCCUCAGAGGAAGUACGGGCUAAGUUCGUGCCAGCAGCCGCGGUAACAC